CUGGAGGCUGGGAAGUCCAAGAUCAAAGUGCCAGCAGAUCAGUAACUGGCUGUGUGUUUUCGGAGGCUGACCCCCUGUGGACUGCAUUACCUGGGAUCUUGUGCCUUCUGGCUUCCGAGUGGGUUUGGCCAAUGGGAGGCACCAGCUGCAGAUAGAGAGGAAGCAGUAGCUAUGGCUGUCCAUGACAGGGCCCACCUCUCAAGGGGCUCCAGUCAUUCUGCCUCCUCCCCUGGCCCCUGUAGUCCCUGGGGAUGCACAUGGCUGCUAGGCUCUAGGUAUUUUCCCAUCUGUUACAUAUUCCCAUAACCCUGCCCACACCUUUAUGUGUGGGCUCUUCAUUAACGCGUCUUCAAUUGAAUAACAUGGGAUGAAUUCUGUGUUAUUUGGGUCCCUACAGAUUUGACAUAGGAUGAAUUCUGUGCCUUUUUAGGUCCUUACAGAUUUGGGGUUCUUUGCUAGAACCAAAAGGUAACUGGGGAUAUCUUUUGUAAUUCUCACUUUUGUAAGUAUAAUUCUUACUCUAACGAGUGAAAUCACGAAAUUCAAAAUAAAAACACAGUGUCUCCAAGUACUUGGCUAUCUCUUUACUCUUCAAUGCAGGGGGGACGAUUGCUAUUUUA
rnacentral:lncRNA from 10 species